UCUGAGGGCCAGAGCAGGAAACGCGGCCCUGAUACCCUGGGCGUUUCUGCCCCAGGGUCCCGGGGCACACACGCCUUCUUCCUCUUCUCCCACCUUCCUUUCCUUCCCUUUUCUCGCUGCCUUGGAGCCUGUGGCUCUUCUCGGAGUGCGUGGCCCGCCCGGCAGACAGCGGUGCUGACCCGGAGGCCACGGGCGAUCAGCUCCCGAGAUGCUUUACUGAAUUGCUUUAGGACUCAAGGAACUGGGGGCUGCAUUUAUUUAUUCCGGAUUUUGUCUGGCCUUGAGGGGUGAUUGAAGCUCUCCUGCGUGAGGACGAAACCAGAGAGGCAAACAGUGGAAAUGGAGCAUCCUCCCUGCCCAGCCACCAAAUUUCCAUCACAUUUUAAAUAAGGAACAAAGAAUUCUUUCUCCUAGUUACCAAGUCAAAAGAUACAAGAAGAUAUAAUUCAAUAUUGUACUACAGAUUGCAGAAAUUGUAAAAAAAAAAAGGCCAGGAAAAAAUAUAUAAGGAUUGCUCCCUGCUGUGGCCUGGGAGAGCAGC